ACUCCUACGGGAGGCAGCAGUAGGGAAUCUUCCACAAUGGGCGCAAGCCUGAUGGAGCAACACCGCGUGAGUGAAGAAGGGUUUCGGCUCGUAAAAGCUCUGUUGUUAAAGAAGAACACGUAUGAGAGUAACUGUUCAUACGUUGACGGUAUUUAACCAGAAAGUCACGGCUAACUACGUGCCAGCAGCCGCGGUAAUACGUAGGUGGCAAGCGUUAUCCGGAUUUAUUGGGGCGUAAAGAGAGUGCAGGCGGUUUUCUAAGUCUGAUGUGAAAGCCUUCGGCUUAACCGGAGAAGUGCAUCGGAAACUGGAUAACUUGAGUGCAGAAGAGGGUAGUGGAACUCCAUGUGUAGCGGUGGAAUGCGUAGAUAUAUGGAAGAACACCAGUGGCGAAGGCGGCUACCUGGUCUGCAACUAGACGACUGAGACUCG
rnacentral:rRNA from 1 species